GAGAAAGAGAGGCAGCAGGGUCCGGGUUCACCAGCAAAUUCUUUCCAGUGACACGUGUUAGUACUGACGUCUGGUAAUUUGUGAAGCCAUCAGUGUGGAUCUUCCCUCCAACAGAGCAUAUGAUAACCCAACCACACCUUCUCACUCUUUGAGACUUUUGUCCAGAUCUGACUGCCUACUUUCCUAGCUAGGACACUCUGUUCUAAGGUUUUUCCCAUCUCUGAGUCUACAUUCUAUGACCUGCAUAAAGAUGCCACAGCCACCAAUAGCCAUAACCAAUAACACCUGCUCAGUGAACUCCGGGAACCCAAGGAAGGAAUGGAGGCAACUCGCAUGGACACCCCUGAGGAAGAGACAAGAGGCACAUGCCAGGUGUAUCAAAACACCACCACCACUUCAACUACCAACUCAUUCAAACAUGGAGGGAGAUGGCCUAGGAUCUGAGCCCAAGAACCCCUAGGAAAGGCAAUGUUGAAACCAUUGGCCCUACUUCCAAUCAACUUUCAGCAGCCAUAAUUGUAGGAAUCAACUUUUCUUCAGAUGGGGAUUCCCAUCUCCACCACCACCAUCAUCUCCAGCCAAGUGGCAUUAGUCCAUAGAUGCUGUAGUUCCCCUUUUUUCUUAACUGACAUAGCUAUUGAAGACCUGAAUAGUAAAGUUCUUGCCCCCAAGUCCUUGGCACUGUCAAAUGGUUCAAUGUCAA